rnacentral:rRNA from 1 species
AUAUUGGACAAUGGGGGAAACCCUGAUCCAGCAAUGCCGCGUGAAUGAAGAAGGCCUUAGGGUUGUAAAAUUCUUUUGUUCGUGAAGAUAAUGACGGUAGCGGACGAAUAAGCCCUGGCUAACUCUGUGCCAGCAGCCGCGGUAAUACAGAGAGGGCAAGCGUUGUCCGGAAUGACUGGGCGUAAAGCGCGCGCAGGCGGUUUUUUAAGUUGGAUGUGAAAUCCCCGGGCUCAACCUGGGAACUGCAUUCGAUACUGGGAAACUAGAGGCCGAGAGAGGAAAGCGGAAUGACGAGUGUAGAGGUGAAAUUCGUAGAUAUUCGUCGGAACACCAGAGGCGAAGGCGGCUUUCUGGCUCGGACCUGACGCUCAGGCGCGAAAGCGUGGGGAGCAAACAGGA